CACGUAGGGUGCGAGCGUUGUCCGGAAUUAUUGGGCGUAAAGAGCUCGGAGGCGGUGUGUCGCGUCGGCUGUGAAAACCUGCAGCUUAACUGUGGGCGUGCGGUCGAUACGGGCAUCACUGGAGUUCGGCAGGGGAGACUGGAAUUCCUGGUGUAGCGGUGAAAUGCGCAGAUAUCAGGAGGAACACCGGUGGCGAAGGCGGGUCUCUGGGCCGAUACUGACGCUGAGGAGCGAAAGCGUGGGGAGCGAACAGG
rnacentral:rRNA from 1 species